rnacentral:rRNA from 1 species
AGUAACGCGUGGGUAACCUGCCUUAUACAGGGGGAUAACAGUCAGAAAUGGCUGCUAAUACCGCAUAAGCGCACAGAGCUGCAUGGCUCAGUGUGAAAAACUCCGGUGGUAUAAGAUGGACCCGCGUUGGAUUAGCUUGUUGGUGGGGUAACGGCUCACCAAGGCGACGAUCCCUAGCUGGUCUGAGAGGAUGACCAGCCACACUGGAACUGAGACACGGUCCAGACUCCUACGGGAGGCAGCAUG